rnacentral:lncRNA from 1 species
GCACAGAUCGACAGGGAGGCCCUUAGCCUAGUGUGGGGCAUAAAGAAGUUUCACCACUACCUUUUCGGCCAAAGGUUCACGCUAGUGACAGACCACCAGCCUCUGGUAUCCAUCUUCAACCCUAGGAAAGGAGUCCCAGUGAUGUCAGCCACCCGACUGCAACGAUGGGCGCUGUUCCUGGGAGCUCACUCAUAUGAUAUCGAGUUCAAGGGUACGAAGCAACACUGUAAUGCUGAUGGCUUGUCACGCCUCCCACUGUUGACAACUGAGGAGGAAAAGCCUACAGCUGGAGAUCCAGCAGAAGUGUUCCAUACAACGUUGGUGGAACAGCUACCAGUGACAAACUCUGAGAUUCAGAGAGAAACACAUAAAGAUCCUACACUAUCAAAAGUGUAUGACAUCACAGUACAAGGUUGGCCAGCACAUGGAAAUGCCAUGUUUCCUGACUUUUCAAUGAGACGUGACCAGCUCUCUGUUUGCCAGCGAACUCUGAUGUGUGGAUCACGUGUAAUAGUACCUCCCAAGCUUCGCGGUAGAGUGUUGGAAAAUCUACACGAAGGUCACCUUGGCACUGUUAAAAUGAAAAGCCUUGCUCGCAGUUACGUAUGGUGGCCAGGAAUUGAUAGACAGAUUGAGGAUAUCACCAAGACCUGUGCAGGAUGCCACAAUGUUCAGAAUGCGCCCCCACCGGCACCCUUACACCCGUGGGAGUGGCCGUCGGCACCCUGGCAGAGAGUGCAUAUUGAUUUUGCUGGGCCAUUCAUGAACUCCAUGUUCUUAAUAGCUGUGGACGCCCACUCAAAAUGGCCAGAGGUAAUACAAAUGAAAUCCACAACCUCAGAAAGGACUAUUUCUGUACUAAGGAACAUCUUUUCCAGGAAUGGCAUACCUGAGCACAUUGUGAGCGAUAAUGGUCCACAGUUUACUUCAGACGAGUUUACACUUUUCAUGAAGAUGAAUGGCAUCAAGCAUUUCAAGUCAGCUCCACACCACCCUGCAACAAAUGGGUUGGCAGAACGGUUUGUUCAAACCUUUAAGAAGUCAAUCAAAGCCAUGGCAAAGGAAACCGUCACCCUUCAGCAUAAAGUGGACAAUUUUCUUUUUGUGUAUCGGAACUCUGUCCAUUCAACAACAAAUCAAACUCCGGCAAUGCUGUUUAUGAACAGGCCUUUGAGAUCUCGCAUUGACCUCCUUAAACCUAACUUGCGGAGGGAAGUGCAGAACAAACAAUUCAACACAUUGUCAAGUGAGGCAGCAAGGAGCUUUGAUGUUGGACAGCAAGUUCUGGCACGUGACUAUCGAGAAAACAAGUGGACACCGGGACGGAUUGUGACAAGAAAUGGACCACUGAUGUACGAGGUGGAUGUUGGAGAGCAGACAUGGAGACGUCAUGUCGAUCAGUUGCUGAACGUGCAGCCAAACAGUACCUCUGAGCUGCCUGCAUCCAACCAACAAGACCCAACACCAGACUCGCCAUCAAACACACAGCUCAUUCCUGUUCAUGACACGCCAAAGACUAUGACGCCGGCAAAGGAAAGUGUGUCCCCAGAGAAGACACCACAGGGUCCAAGGCGUUACCCGGAAAGAACCAGGGCACCACCUAAAAGACUGGAGUUGUAAUGAGUUGUCUUUAUUUACAGGUGGCUGUAACAAAGUUAUGGACUGUUCUUAAAAAAAUUAAAAAAAAAUUAAUAAAAAUGUACUAAUGCAACCACUGUUCAAUUUCAAACAGGAUCUGUAAAGCAGAAUGUUUUGUUGUAUUUUUGCACAUUUAAUUGUGUAGUGUUAAUCUAAAAAGGGAGGAGUGUAGUGUUUAAUAAGUUG